rnacentral:misc_RNA from 1 species
GUUCAGAACGUGUUCACAAGUCAGGAAGUGAGGGGCAUAUGCUAGAAGAAGCUAAGUCUAUCAAUCUCUCACUUAGUGCAUUAGGGAAGUGCAUAAAUGCACUUGCAGAGAAUAGUGCUCAUGUGCCAGUUCGUGAUUCAAAACUUACUCGGUUGCUCAAAGAUUCAUUUGGAGGCACAGCAAGAACUUCAUUAAUUGUAACCAUUGGCCCUUCACCACGCCACCGAGGAGAGACUACAAGCACUGUAUUGUUUGGACAAAGGGCUAUGAAGGUGGAGAACAUGUUGAAAAUAAAGGAAGAGUUUGAUUACAAAAGUUUAUCUAGAAAGCUUGAAAUACAAGUGGACAAGCUUAUUGUGGAGAAUGAAAGGCAGCAAAAAGCUUUUGAUGAUGAAGUUGAAAGAAUAAAUCAAGAAGCAGAAAAUCGUAUUACUGAGGUUGAAAGGAGCUUUGCAGAAGCCUU